CACCGCCCGUCACACCAUGGAAGUUGAUUGCUCCAGAAGUGGCUGAGCUAACCCGCAAGGGAGGCAGGUCCCCAAGGAGUGAUCGGUAACUGGGUG
rnacentral:rRNA from 1 species